CCUACGGGAGGCAGCAGUGGGGAAUAUUGCACAAUGGGGGAAACCCUGAUGCAGCAACGCCGCGUGAGUGAAGAAGUAUUUCGGUAUGUAAAGCCCUGUCAGCAGGGAAGAAAAUGACGGUACCUGACCAAGAAGCCCCGGCUAACUACGUGCCAGCAGCCGCGGUAAUACGUAGGGGGCAAGCGUUAUCCGGAUUUACUGGGGGUAAAGGGAGCGUAGACGGCAAGGCAAGUCUGGAGUGAAAGCCCGUGGCUCAACCACGGGACUGCUUUGGAAACUGUGUUGCUGGAGUGCAGGAGGGGUAAGCGGAAUGCCUAGUGUAGCGGUGAAAUGCGUAGAUAGUAGGAGGAACACCGGUGGCGAAGGCGGCUUACUGGACUGUAACUGACGUUGAGGCUCGAAGGCGUGGGGAGCAAACAGGAUUAGAUACCCGUGUAGUC
rnacentral:rRNA from 1 species